rnacentral:rRNA from 1 species
AGAUUGAACGCUGGCGGCAGGCCUAACACAUGCAAGUCGAGCGGCAGCACGGGUACUUGUACCUGGUGGCGAGCGGCGGACGGGUGAGUAAUGCCUAGGAAUCUGCCUGGUAGUGGGGGAUAACGCUCGGAAACGGACGCUAAUACCGCAUACGUCCUACGGGAGAAAGCAGGGGACCUUCGGGCCUUGCGCUAUCAGAUGAGCCUAGGUCGGAUUAGCUAGUUGGUGGGGUAAUGGCUCACCAAGGCGACGAUCCGUAACUGGUCUGAGAGGAUGAUCAGUCACACUGGGACUGAGACACGGUCCAGACUCCUACGGGAGCAGCAGUGGGGAAUAUUGGACAAUGGGGACGAAAGCC